AUAUUAAGGUAGGAGAGACCCAAAAAGAAGGAAGGUGGUUAGAAGGUACAUGGAAAUGUUUUGUGCCAUGUACCUUCUAACCACCUUCCUUCUUUUUGGGUCUCUCCUACCUUAAUAUAAG